rnacentral:ncRNA from 1 species
ACACACCCAUUGAUAGGGAGAGUAAGUGUUAAACACUUUGAAGAGAGGUUCCGUUUGGUGAGAGGAACCAAGUGAAAGGCGCUGAAGAUGGCCUUUGAGGGUAUCUUGUCAAUAAGUAGACAAGGUCGGCUGGGCUCGGUCGAUAGAAAGAGCGCUAGUCUAGGCAUUAUCGCCUAUGGCUAGGUCGAGGGAGUAGCUACUACUAUACUUAUUAACAGUAGUACUCUGAACAAAAGGUGGUAACACGAUGCGUCGUCCUUUAC